rnacentral:rRNA from 1 species
UGGGGAAUUUUGGACAAUGGGCGAAAGCCUGAUCCAGCAAUGCCGCGUGUGUGAAGAAGGCCUUCGGGUUGUAAAGCACUUUUGUCCGGAAAGAAAUCCUUGGCUCUAAUACAGUCGGGGGAUGACGGUACCGGAAGAAUAAGCACCGGCUAACUACGUGCCAGCAGCCGCGGUAAUACGUAGGGUGCAAGCGUUAAUCGGAAUUACUGGGCGUAAAGCGUGCGCAGGCGGUUUGCUAAGACCGAUGUGAAAUCCCCGGGCUCAACCUGGGAACUGCAUUGGUGACUGGCAGGCUAGAGUAUGGCAGAGGGGGGUAGAAUUCCACGUGUAGCAGUGAAAUGCGUAGAGAUGUGGAGGAAUACCGAUGGCGAAGGCAGCCCCCUGGGCCAAUACUGACGCUCAUGCACGAAAAGCGUGGGGGAGCAAAACAGGAUUAGAUACCCUGGUAGUCCACGCCCUAAAACGAUGUCAACUAGUUGUUGGGGGAUUCAUUUCCUUAGUAACGUAGCUAACGCGUGAAGUUGACCGCCUGGGGAGUACGGUCGCAAGAUUAAAACUCAAAUGAAUUGACGGGGUCAUAGCUGUUUCCU